GCGGCAUUGGGCAUGGAGCAUCCGAGGGUCCAAGGGGUGGAUGCAGGAACGUUGGCAUCCAUUCAACAAAGGCCUGUUGGGUUCUAGCGGUGCUCAGAGCUGGGGUGCAGUGAUGGGGGAGACAUGUCCCCUCCAGAGCGUCACAGAAGGCAGGCGACAUACUCCACUCUUCCCACCAUAACUACCAUCCAGCCCACUGAAGACCACCAUGAGGACGUAACAAACAGGACCCUCCAGCCUGCCCAGGUGCAAGACCCUGCUGGGCCUGGGUGAGGUGAGAUGCACCAGUGCCAGCUCCAAUCUGCCCUUGCCAAAUGCUGUUCCAAAUUGGCUCCGUGAAACCAGAACCGUGAAAUCCCAUCAGGACAGCUGGAGGUAAGCACAGCGGUGGAAGGAUUUAGACCACGUCGAAACGGCUCAUGGACAAGAGGGUGAGAACCCGUGGACUCCUGGGCAAAGGCACCAUCGGGAACAUUAAGAAAGCAAUCCCACCUCAAACCCACAACCAAAAUAUUUUAUAAGAACCCUCCCUUCCCCCCCCCCACUCUCUUUUUGUCAAGUAAAGGAUACACA
rnacentral:lncRNA from 1 species